rnacentral:rRNA from 1 species
UACGAAGGGGGCGAGCGUUGUUCGGAUUUACUGGGCGUAAAGGGCGCGCAGGCGGUCUUGAAAGUCAGGCGUGAAAGCCCCGGGCUUAACCUGGGAAUUGCGCUUGAUACUCUGAGACUGGAGUCCGGGAGAGGUGAGUGGAACUGCGAGUGUAGAGGUGAAAUUCGUAGAUAUUCGCAAGAACACCAGUGGCGAAGGCGGCUCACUGGCCCGGUACUGACGCUGAGGUGCGAAAGCGUGGGGAGCAAACAGG